rnacentral:rRNA from 1 species
UGCCCAGACUCCUACGGGAGGCAGCAGUGAGGAAUAUUGGUCAAUGGCCGAAGGGCUGAACCAGCCAAGCCGCGUGAAGGAAUAAGGCCCUACGGGUCGUAAACUUCUUUAGUCAGGGAACAAAGGGUGCCACGCGUGGCGCUGUGAGUGUACCUGAAGAAUAAGCAUCGGCUAACUCCGUGCCAGCAGCCGCGGUAAUACGGAGGAUGCGAGCGUUAUCCGGAUUUAUUGGGUUUAAAGGGUGCGUAGGCGGACUGUCAAGUCAGCGGUAAAAUUGCGGGGCUCAACCUCGUCGAGCCGUUGAAACUGGGUGCCUUGAGUGGGCGAGAAGUACGCGGAAUGCGUGGUGUAGCGGUGAAAUGCAUAGAUAUCACGCAGAACUCCGAUUGCGAAGGCAGCGUACCGGCGCCCAACUGACGCUGAAGCACGAAGGCGUGGGUAUCGAACAGGAUUAGAUACCCCCGUAUUG